UACGGGGGGGGCAAGCGUUGUUCGGAAUUACUGGGCGUAAAGGGCUCGUAGGCGGCCAACUAAGUCGGAUGUGAAAUCCCCAGGCUCAACUUGGGAACUGCAUCCGAUACUGGAUGGCUUGAAUCCGGGAGAGGGAUGCAGAAUUCCAGGUGUAGCGGUGAAAUGCGUAGAUAUCUGGAGGAAUACCGGUGGCGAAGGCGGCAUCCUGGACCGGCAUUGACGCUGAUGAGCGAAAGCGUGGGGAGCAAACGGG
rnacentral:rRNA from 1 species